rnacentral:rRNA from 1 species
UACGAAGGGGGCUAGCGUUGCUCGGAAUUACUGGGCGUAAAGCGCACGUAGGCGGAUUGUUAAGUCGGGGGUGAGAUCCUGGAGCUCAACUCCAGAACUGCCUUCGAUACUGCGGGUCUCGAGUCCGGGAGAGGUGAGUGGAAUUCCUAGUGUAGAGGUGAAAUUCGUAGAUAUUAGGAAGAACACCAGUGGCGAAGGCGGCUCACUGGCCCGGUACUGACGCUGAGGCGCGAAAGCGUGGGGAGCAAACAGG